CCAAGGAAGGCAGCAGGCGCGCAAAUUACCCAAUCCCGAUUCGGGGAGGUAGUGACAAUAAAUACUGAUACAGGGCUCUUUUGGGUCUUGUAAUUGGAAUGAGUACAAUUUAAAUCCCUUAACGAGGAACAAUUGGAGGGCAAGUCUGGUGCCAGCAGCCGCGGUAAUUCCAGCUCCAAUAGCGUAUAUUAAAGUUGUUGCAGUUAAAAAGCUCGUAGUUGAACCUUGGGCCUGGCUGGCCGGUCCGCCUCACCGCGUGCACUGGUUCGGCCGGGCCUUUCCCUCUGGGGAACCUCAUGGUCUUCACUGAUCGUGAUGGGGAACCAGGACUUUUACUGUGAAAAAAUUAGAGUGUUCAAAGCAGGCCUAUGCUCGAAUACAUUAGCAUGGAAUAAUAAAAUAGGACGUGUGGUUCUAUUUUGUUGGUUUCUAGGACCGCCGUAAUGAUUAAUAGGGACAGUCGGGGGCAUCAGUAUUCAAUUGUCAGAGGUGAAAUUCUUGGAUUUAUUGAAGACUAACUACUGCGAAAGCAUUUGCCAAGGAUGUUUUCAUUAAUCAGGAACGAAAGUUAGGGGAUCGAAGACGAUCAGAUACCGUCGUAGUCUUAACCAUAAACUAUGCCGACUAGGGAUCGGACGGUGUUACUUAUUGACCCGUUCGGCACCUUACGAGAAAUCAAAGUCUUU
rnacentral:rRNA from 1 species